UUUAUUUCGCAGCUACAGUUCUCUGAUGGAGCUUUGCAAGCAAAAGGAUGGCCCCUUUUGUGUAUGCUGCCGGGGUGAAUGCCAAUCACUUACAAAAAGCGUGCUGUAGAGCCAUCUCCAGACAAGGAGGGUGUAAUUCCCGGUGGGCUGAGCUGAUGCAGCAACCCCUGCCUUACAGCAUCAGCACAUCCCCACAGCUCAGCCACCUCCAGCUCACCUCCCACUGCCUCUCUGGAAAAGUCACACGGGACCUUGGUGUUUUGUUCCUCAUUUGGGUGAUAUUGUCAGAAGCCAAACACGAUUCCCACGCUCGGGAGAAGCCAUUUCAGACACAGCCAUCCUGCCCUGCCCAUGCUGCAUCCAGCCCCUUGGUCUGAUCACAAGAGAAUUCCUAAAUUGGGGAAUGAGCAGCUGGUGCUCUCACAUCAGCGGCAGCAUGAGCAAACCCACCACCAGCAAGGCACCAGGACACCAGACCACAAGCAAGGCACUAGACACUUCCACAUCAGGAUGCCCAGCAAGGCAUGAGGACAGUGCCAGGGUGCAAUGACAUUUGGUCACCAGGACUCAAUGACUCCAGGAUGCAAUGAUACCACGACACAGGAUGCAAUGACAUCAGGACACCAUGGUGCCUGGACACCAGAACACCAGGAUGCCAGGACACAAUGACACCAACAGAUCAAGUCACAAUGACACACUAGGUCACAAUGACACCAGGAUGAAAUGAUGUCAGGAUGCAAUGACACGAGGACACCAGGACACAAUAACACCUAAACACUUGGAUUCAGUGACACCAGGACUCCAGGAUGCAAUGGCACCAGGACACAACGAUGCCAGGACAUCAGGAUGCAACGACACCAAAUCACCAGGACGCAAUGACGCUUAGGAUACCAGCACAACCUUGCUCUGCUGAGCCAUGCCCACAGCCUGCCCAGCCUCUGAUUGGGUGAGGCAAUGGCAAGGCAUGGGGACAGUGAUGGAAAUGCUGCAGCCAUUCCCAGAAUUGCCAGAACAAGGACUGGGCACAAGGUGCUGGGGUGGUCCCUGGGUGUGUAUCUGCAUGGAGUGCUGGCAGCGGCCCCUUCACUCCAGCUCCAAGAGGAAAGGCUCCAGGAGGCAAUGGGAGAGAGGCUGAGAGCUGCUCACAGCAGACAUCAUCUAUGGGAGGCAGAGGAGCAACCAAAUCAGCAACGAUGGGGCCAAAUGUCAGCAGCCAGUGUUGCUGCAGGGGAAUGUGGGGCAGGAGCUGCUUCGGGCUCCCCUGACCCUGCUUUGGGAAAAGGGGAGCAGCAGCUGUGUUUGCAGACUUAUGGCUGUCCAGGGGUAUCACGCACCAACAGCUGCACAAACACGACCACAGCAGGCAUGGGGAGGAGGGAGCGGGCAGAAGGCUCAGGGCAGGGUUGCAGCCCUCACGACAUGCUGCAGUGCAAGACACAGAGGGAGGCGAGCAGAGUCCAAUGGGGAUGCCCCACAAGGGAUAACACAGGCCAGAUGUCCAGAGCCCCGUGUUUUUGGCACAGGGGGACUCCCUGGCGGGAUGCACACAGAAACAAUCCAGGAAAGCAGUGUGGCUGCAGCCCGAGGCACUGCAAGUGGGAGCUGCUCCCCUCCCCACACCCGCAUCACACCAAGCCGUUCCCCGCGCAGCCGGCACCUUUCAUCCCAGAGAAACUCUCAGAACAGAGGACUCAAACCCACCAGGAAAGGUGACAGAUUCUCCUAUUCUUCAAAGAGGCUCUUUAAAUAUUAA